rnacentral:rRNA from 1 species
GACGAACGCUGGCGGCGUGCUUAACACAUGCAAGUCGAACGGAAAGACCCUGCUUUUGUGGGGUGCUCGAGUGGCGAACGGGUGAGUAACACGUGAGUAACCUGCCCUUGACUUUGGGAUAACUUCAGGAAACUGGGGCUAAUACCGGAUAGGAGCUCCUGCCGCAUGGUGGGGGUUGGAAAGUUUCGGCGGUUGGGGAUGGACUCGCGGCUUAUCAGCUUGUUGGUGGGGUAGUGGCUUACCAAGGCUUUGACGGGUAGCCGGCCUGAGAGGGUGACCGGCCACAUUGGGACUGAGAUACGGCCCAGACUCCUACGGGAGGCAGCAGUGGGGAAUAUUGCACAAUGGGCGGAAGCCUGAUGCAGCAACGCCGCGUGCGGGAUGACGGCCUUCGGGUUGUAAACCGCUUUCGCCUGUGACGAAGCGUGAGUGACGGUAAUGGGUAAAGAAGCACCGGCUAACUACGUG